rnacentral:lncRNA from 1 species
ACUAAUGAUAUCACUUAAUUGUACCAAUAAUAUACUUAUGUUACAUCACCCAGAAAAAUAUUAUGGUAAAAAGGAACGGAUUGAAAAAUAAUUGGUUCGCAAUCAUAUAUGCAUGCAGGGGAUCAAUAUUUUGCUUCAAAGUUCUAUGAAGAGUUUGUGGAUCAUGCCUCAUUACAUUCAGAAGAAGAAAAUCUUGUCAUCUGUAGGUGGGCGCUAGCACUCUGCAGGAGUUGUACCUUCGAGAUUCAUUUCAAGUAAAAUUCAGAAGUGCAAAAACAGAUCUAACAAUAGUCACAGUACAACUCCAGCUUCCUCGUUUGUUAACUUGCCGUUGUUCUGAUGUAGAUUUGGCACCAGCCUCUCUAGCAGAAGGAAAAUCCAUGUCAAUAAUAGACUCUGAAAACUCAAAGUACAUACUACAUGAAAUCCUUCUGAAGUGUGUUUCUGCUUCCACAAUAAUAAUAAAAAAUUCUACUUAAAUGAGUGUCAAAAGGGAUACUUAUUGUAGAUUACAUGAGGAGCCAAUAAUUGUUUUUACCUAAUAGAAAACAACAUGUAGAGAAUAUUGUGUCAAUAAAAUCAAUCCUUGGUGAUUCAGAAAUGGACGAUGAACUACACGUACAUGAUGGACCCUAGACUACCAGUGUGACACUUGAUGUUGGUUGUGUUGCCAAAGUUACAACAGAGUUGCUGCUAAAUUGGUACUCCACAUAAACAAAGUCCAUCAUUGCUGCUAAACUGGUAAUCCACACGAACAAAGUCAAUCAGCCAUGUACCAAAUUUAUCUCUGAACUGUAAGUACGCGAAGGACACAAAACCUACUACGAAAACAUAAGUGCCGAGUCAUCUAAUUCAUACUACUACUUAGUCUAAGGUGAUAAGAGUAAUGGUAAGUAGCCAUUGCUGGGAGAUGUGAUUUAUUGUUGCAUACUACAUUGUACAUGAACAUUUUACAAAUGCUUAUAAUAUAUAAACAUCAAUUUAUAUAUAUCUACAUGGGAGCAUUUCAGAGAACACAUGGUGAGCAUGAGUGUCUCACAAACCUGCAGCUUCCUAGAUUUCGAUGUCUCAUACAUGGUGGUGGGCAGAAGCUGCAGCAUGUUACUCCUUAGCUUGGGGGCCCUGGUCAUGGAGGACCCUGCUGGCCAGGGGGCAAG